CAGCACAUCAGGCAAAUAGAGGCCCCUUCCCCGGCUGGGGUCCUACUCUGUAGAUCGGUGUGUCAGGCACUUAAAGGGGCACCCUGGGCAGGGUCCUACUCUGUAGUUCAGUGCGUCCCAAGUUUCAUGGGCCAGCCUCUCUAUUGUUCAGCUGCCAAUGCUGGUGUGUGGGGAGAGAGAGGCUAAGCAAGACAAUGAUGAUGACAAAGACAUCAAAAAUAUAAAGGAAAGGGAGAAAGAGAAGAAUGAAGAGGAAGAACUGGGGAAGGAUGGAAAGAGCUAGCCUAUGAACCUUUACCAGGCACCAGGCAUAAUUUUCAAGUAAUCUUCACACCAUCAGAGGUAUAUGGUGGUACAGCCCUUAUUUUACAGAUUAAAAACAUAUAGAAAGAGUAAAUAAGUGGCUCAAGUUUGUACUUAAAGUGCCAGGAUUAAAGUCUGGUGGUCUGGCUCCACAAUCUGUGUUUUUACACAACAA
rnacentral:lncRNA from 1 species